GGCAGUAUGAUGUAGUGGUUAAAGUGUUGGACUACAACUCUGGAGUCAGGGUUCAAUUCCCUGCUCAGCCA